rnacentral:ncRNA from 1 species
AGAUAAAUUUUUUAUAUUUUAUAUAUUUUAUUAUAAAUUUAUUUUACAUGUAAAUUUUAGUAUUAAAUUUUAAUUAUUUUAAUAAUAAUUAAUUAAAUUUUACAGUAAUUAAAAUUAAAAAUUUAAGAAAUUAAGAUUUAGUAAUAUUUAAAUUAAUAACUAAUUUUGUGCCAGCAGUUGCGGUUAAACAAAAAUUAAAUUAAAUUAUUUCAGUAUAUAAUAAAUAAUAAUAUAAUUAAAUUAAAUAUUAAAUUAUUAAGUGAAAUUUUAAUUUAAUUAAAAAUUAUAAUGAAAUUAUGAUUUACCAAAUUUUAUUAUAAACUAGGAUUAGAUACCCUAUUAUUAAAAAUUUAAUUAAAAAUACUAAAAUAGUAAAUAAUAUUUUAUUGAAACUUAAAUAAUAUGGCGGUAUUUUAGUUCAUUUAGAGGAAUCUGUCUAAUAAUUGAUAAUCCACGAAUAAAUUUACUUAAUUUAUAAUUUUGUAUAUCAUUGUUAAAAAAAUAUUUUUAAAUAAAAAUAAUAUUUUAAAAUUUAAAAUAAAAUUUAAUUCAGAUCAAGAUGCAGUUUAUAAUUAAGUUUAAGAUGGAUUACAAUAAAUUUAUUUAAACGAAAAGAAUUUUGUAAAAUUUAAUUGAAGGUGGAUUUAAAUGUAAUUUUAAUUAAUUUAUUAAAAUGAUUAAAAAUUGAAAUAUGUACAUAUUGCCCGUCACUUUCAUUUAAAAAUUGAAAUAAGUCGUAACAAAGUAGAGGUACUGGAAAGUGUUUCUAGAAUGAA